AUAUUAACAAUGAAAAGUAUGAGUAAAUUACAUGUCUGUGUUUAGGGGGGGAUUUGUGUGUUUAGUCCCUAAUUUAUUUUUUUAACUCGGAUGAUCCUUAUUGUUUAUUUUUGUUGCAUGUUUGGUUCCUACCUUACCUAAAAAGACUAUUGUGCUCUUAUUAAUUUGUUUAUUUAUUUAGUUUUUCUUAUUUAUGUAUUUAUUUUUUAUAUAUUUAAAAAAAUUUAAUAGACCCCACAUAUUUGUACCUACUUACCCUAAACCUGAAACCACAUUUGAAAAUUUUAAUCUGGCUCCCACCGGUCACUAUCUCAUCUUUCAUCCUCCUCAACUUCUAUUUCUUUCUCAUCUUCAGUGACAUCGAUGUCUUCAACAUCCUUUUUUCUUCGGUCCUUCAACUCUAGUGAAGUAACACCACAACCCAUUGUCUCUUCAUCUUUAGUGGGUUGUGGAUCUUUAGUGGGUUGUGGUGUUGGCUCGCCGGAGUUGACGAACCAAAAAAAAGGGAUUAUGAAGACGUCAAUAUCAUUAAAGAUGGAAAUGAAAUAAAAGUUGAGGAGGAUGAGAGAUGAGAUGGCGACCGGUGGGACCCAUAUUAAAUUUCUCAAACAUUGUUUUAGGUUUAUGGUGAGCAGAUAUAGAUAUAUAGGGUCUAUUAAUUUUUUUUAAUAUAUAAAAAAAAUAAAUACAUAAGUAAGAAAAAUUAUUAAAAAAAUAAAUUGAUAAGGGCACAAUAGUCUUUUUAGGUAUGACAAGGAUCAAGCGCAUAACAAAAAUAAACAGCAAGGACCAUCCGAAUUAAAAAAAUAAGUUAGGGACCAAACCCACAAAUCCCUCCAAACCACAAGGACCAUCCGUGUAAUUUACUCUUACUUUUCGUUGUUCAUAUUUAAGUAACUAUUUUUUUUACACGUCUAUGUAACGAACUUGUUGAAAGUAUUCAUAUAUUACCAUUAUGACCUGCUAUAACAGGUGAUAAUGGUCACAUGUGAACACUUCCAAUAAGUUUGUUACCUAGAUGUGUAUCAAAAAACAUAAUUAUUCAGAUGUAAACAAACCGAAAACUUAAUUACCUUAAAAAGUAAUAUUCCUUUUAUAUAAUUAUUAUCAACUUGAUGUAGAAAAUGGUAUUAAGAGGGUAUUUGAGAUUGCUUUUUGAAACAACUUAUUAUUUAUUGGGGUUUUCAAAAAGUCAAUAAAUUAAAAAGAUGUUUAGACGGAGAAAAAGACGUUUCGAUUUGAAUUCUUGAUAAGAUUGAAAACGCAAGUUUAAAAAAGUUUCAAAUAACUAAUUUUUUGAAAAAAUCAUAAGUUAAUAAGUCAUUUUUGUGUCAUUUUACAUAUAAUAGCUAGUCAAACAUUUUUUUAACUUAUUGACUUACUAAUUUUUCCCAUUACAAAAACUAAUUCAAACAUUUUUUUUAUAAAAGCAUUAAGAAAGUCAUAAGUCAUUUUACAUUUUAUAAGCUAGCCAAACAUUAUUUUUACUAAAAACCCCUAUGAGUUGAUGAUCUAAAAGGCCAUUGUUUGUUGUAAAUACUAAAAACACACAAUUUAUUUUUACUGUUUUAUCAAUUUAACCACUAACUAUUUUACUGGUAUAAAAUGUACUAAACAACAACUUGGCAACAUACUUUCACCUGUUUAUCGAGCGGUUUAUUGAUUUCACAACAUACUUUAUGAUUUAAGUCUUUUAACACUAAAGUAUUUUUAAAAAAUAUAUAAAUUUGGGCAAUAUUCAUGUUAUUUUGUCUGCAUACAUACAGGAAUGGACACAAGGGCAUACCGAUUGAGCUGCUUAAAAGAAAGCGAUGUUUACGAAAUAGACUUCCCAGAAGUCUUGGAAAUGAAAGAGACAUUACUUCAAACAGCAAUAAACAACUCCAUAAACCCACAAUCGAAAUCCCUCACAAGAAUAGCAGCAGAUAUGAGAGAAGAAGACUGGUUCAAAAAGCUUCAAUCAUCAGGCUUCAUCCCCGAAAAAAACACAGUCUGGAUUCUUGAAGGAAUAAUCUAUUAUCUCCCUCAUUCACAAGCCAUGGGAGUAUUGAAAACAAUAGCAGACAAUUGCAGCCUCACAAAAACCGUUUUGUUAGCCGAUUUCAUGAACAAACAAUCAACAACGCUUUCGAGUUCUAACAGCUUUCAUUUCUACAGUGAUUGGCCUGAUCAUUUGCUACCUACUUUAGGGUUUUCGGAGGUGAAUCUUUCACAAAUUGGGGAUCCGGAUGCUGAUUAUGGGUUGUUGCAUGAUCCGCUUAAUUUGUUUAAUAAGUUGCGAGGGGUACCGAGGUCAUUUCAGAACCACCCCGAUGAUGGAACGCCUUGCUGUCGGUUGUAUUUGGUGCAAGCUUCUGGUUCACCAAAAACUAUUUCUUCGUGAAUCUUUUUUUAUUAUAUUUAUAUUUAUAUUUAUAUUUAUAUUUAUACAAAGUUUUUAUAUUUAUGUUAGGUUUGUUGGUGUUGAUUCUUUGACGGAGUAAUGAAAAAGAUAUAAUGUUAUCCACAGUAAACAAACAAAUAUGAUAUCAAUGUUGAGUUGAGGCAUUUUUAUAACAUCAAAUUACAAUGAACCAAUAAUCUAUUAAUCAUACAUUAAAUGCUAAGUUUAUAUCAUAAAUUGUUACACUCUAGUGUUGCAAGCUUGAAAAAUCAACAUGUUAUAUACGUAUCAAGUGUAUUAUUUUCAAAAUUUUAAACUAAACAUUGUUGUCCCAAUUAUACAUAUAUACCCAUAUAAAGAAUUUAUGCUAUUUUCAAAAUUUUGAACUAUGAACUUCUAUACUAAGAAUAUACCAAACUUAGCCACAAUUACAACUUACAUGAAUGAGAUGUCAUAAAUUAAUAAGAAAUCAUCAUGCAAUUACAGUUUACAUGAAAACAAAUCAUAAAAUAUAAUAAUGAAAGACAACGCAGUGCCUUAUUACUUUAUUAAAUUAGCAAAUCACAAAACAAAAAGGAUUUGUAAGGAGAGGCAAUUCCAAAAUACAAUUGAAUUUGACUUACAUAUCUUUGGUGAAUCUUUUUUUCUUAUAUUUAUAUUUAUACAAAGUUUUUAUAUUUAUGUUAGGUUUGUUAAGUUGGUGUUGAUGUGAUUCAGUAAAAAUAAUAUAAUGUUAUCACAAGAAAGAAACAAGUGUGACAUGAAUGUUGGUAUCAAGAGUUUCUUGAAAACAUGAGGAAAAUUCAAGAAAGUAAUUGAAUGAGUCAAAUUUCAAGACAAUCUUUGACACCCUGUUCGAAUUUGUUAAGGGAAGAUAUGGUGUCCAUUAGUGCAUCUGCCACUUUUUGUCUGUAGAAAAGAGAAGAAAAGUAACGUAUAGGAAAAUAACAAUGUACUUCACUAGUUGGGUAUUAACUAAACUAACUAUAUUUUUAUCCAAUUUAAAGAAAUAACCAAAAAAAUGUCUGGGUUUUGAAAAAUAACUACUUUUUCAAUCAUGCCCUAUUUUGGACUUGUUCUUGAAAUCCUGGAGUGUUUUUUUUAAAGGUUAUGUUUGAAAUGUUCAUUUCGAAGUGUUUAAUGUCACAUUUUUUCAAUCAAAUGUUUGUUUUCAAGCCCUUGUAUCGUUUAUACUUUCCAUUUGCUAUGUUUCUUUAACUUUUUGUUAGAUUUUAAUAAAAAAACAAAGUAUUUUCUCAAAAUUCCAGAAUACGGAUUUGUUCUUGAAAUUUCCGAGUUUUUUCUUUUCUGAAAUCCGAAAUUUUGGUACUUUUUUGUCUGAAAAAGUAUAUUUUUAUUGUGUCCUGAAUGUUUGAGAAAUACCUGUCAGAUACAAGCCGAGGGGAAGUACCAUUUGCAACAGUAUUAAGAGAACUAAGAGACCUGCAAUUGAAGAAAGUAACAAACUUUCUCAAAAAAGAAACUAAUUGAAAAAAGAAAGGACCAAUAUUUUUUUAUUGUAUUUAAAAUUCAAGAAAUAUGAAAAAGUGAACACUUUUUUUUUUCUGGGAAGAAAAGAAAUAAUCAUUCUGAAGUACCUUUCAAGAUCAGUGAGCUUAGCCUCAGCCUCCACCUUUGUUGGAUCAGUGUCUUCAAGCAGUGAAGCUGCAUUUUUUAGGACCAAUUUGAAUGUGCAAACCUGCAAGUUGAAAUAUGAUGAUUUCAUUUACUUGAAGAUUAUAAUAAGCAAUUUGCAAGCAGAAAAGAAAACGAAGGUCAUAUUCCAUUAAAAAUGGCGGAUCAAUCAAAAGCUGUAUCUCCUUAUAAACUGAAAGUAACAAUGAGAGAUGAAUAGUUCAAGUAUCGAAGGGAAGGAAUUAGGGAUAUAGAGAAAAACCUCAACGCCAGUAUUAGAUUGAAAAGUAACAAUGGAAUUCCUUUCCUGAGGAAUACAGUCUCUAGAAGCCGAUAUAAGCAGCCGUUGAACUUCUUCCAAGUCUUUUUCCGGUGAAGUUCCACUAGCUGCUGGCGAAUCACAAUUCACAUUAAUCAAUUUCAGAACAAAUUCAACUUCAAUCUAAUCGAUACCAAAGAAAUUAACCAAUUUCAGAACAGUACUGAUUAUGAGGUAUGCAGCCUGGAGACUGUUGCGAGAGGCAUCAAUCGGAGCUAAUAGAUACUUGGAUGCCUUCUUCUUUUGUUCUCUCAGCCAAUCCUUUGGUCCUGCUGAGAUAAUUUAACAUAUCACAUCAAUGAGUAGACAAAUUGAUCCGAAAAAACGAUGGAGUAAUCGAGAAGCGAGCAUGAAUCGUAGUUCACGUACAAAUGCCCAAGGAGAAUGCGGUGGCGACAGGAGGUUGAUGGAGGAAAUGGAUGAGUGAAACUAUGGAUGUUAGAAUGACGCCGGCGGCAGCCUUUCUGCGGGUGGUCGGAACGAGGCUGAGAGAAGACGAGGAUUGACUUUGUUUGGGGUCGGAAAGUGAUGAUGAUUGCGGGGACUUUGGCGGAAAUACGGCGGUAAGAAUGGUGGUGGAGGGGAUAAGGGUGGAUAUUGGCGGUGGUGACAUCUUUGCGGGUGGUGUUAUAAAAUAUCGAAUUAUUUAUUUUUGGAAAUUGAUGGAUAUUUUUUUGAAAAAGAGGAGGUCGACAGUUUUCAAAGUUCACUUAUCAUCCAUUCUACAUUGCAAUUAUUGAUAAAAGUUUUGGUUUUGUAGCUAGAAAAUCAGCAAAAUGUUUCAAUAAAGUUAUAUAUUGUUUUGAAAUAGAAAAGUCAUAUUGUUUUUGAAAAAACCAUACAAUUUGUCAUUUGAUGGUGAAAUAUAAAAAAUAAUUUUUUCGUCAAUUUGAACAAAAUAUUAAAUAAUUAAGACUUUUCUGUUAAAACAUCAUUUGAUGGUGAAAUAUAAAAAAUAAUUUUUUCAUCAAUUUGAAUAAAAUAUUAAAUAAUUAAGACUUUUCUGUUAAAACAAAGUUGUGAUUUUAUUGAAGUUUUUUUCAAAAUUUUAGGAUUUUUUUAUAAAUUUCCCUUUGUAGCUCUUUAGUUCUUUGAAUUCAAAGUGUAUUAAAUCAUGUUUUAAAGUUUUUAAGAUGUGUUGAUUUAAUCAUUGGACAUCUAUCUCAAGCUUUAUGUUGCAUAUAGUUUAAAAUAUAGAGAAAUUUAUUCGUAUCAUUUUCAUAUUCUUACAUAAUUUAAAUAUAUAUAUAUAUAUANAUGAGAAAAAUGAAUAUAUAUUACAGCACACCUAAGCUUAGGUAUUAAAUCUCAUAAAAAUAUAUUGUUUUACUGUAUAAAAGAUUGUGGUUAGAUGAUUCAUGAAUAACACUUGAGUCUUAGUUGGGCCGAGAACCCCUGCUUAGGGCUUUAAUUGGGUCGAAGACCUUUUAAGUGGGCCGAAAACUCUCUUGGACCAAGGCAAAUCGAAGCCCACCAUUUUAGGCCAUCAUGUGGGCCGAGAACCUCCCUAAUCGGUUGGCCCAUUUAUAAAAAAAAAAAAAAAAAAAAAAGGAAAAUGACUUGUGUAAUAAGAGAGGCCACCUCAAUAUAGCACACCAUAUAACAAAGGUUUUGUCCCACAAACACCCAUGCAUCUCACAUCACACCAUAGGUCAACUCCUACCCCCUUUCCCCCUCUUCUCUACCUCCCUGCCACUAUCUCCCUCUCCACCCUGAUUCACAGCUUCAAUUCCAACUCAUUUCCUCUCAACAUUCAACAUUCUCUCAUCCUCUCUCUCUAAGAUUUUGUGUGAGUGUGUGUUCUUCAAAGAAGUCUUCAUCCAAGGAUCACAAAGUUUGUAAGUUCAUGUUUGAUUCAAGUGUUUUUGCUUCUGUAACGCCCGCAGAUCCGAGCUAGUCAAUUUAGAGACAAUAAGCAUCAAAAAUGAGUUUUUGAUGGAAGAUUAUUUAGAAGGAUUAAUCUUAACCAAGUUGUAUUAUAUAUUACAAGGAUUCAGUACAUAUAAAGAACGCCGAAAUCCGAGUUAUAACAAAGAAGUUAUAACCCGUCGAAGUUUUUCGGCAAUACCAGCACGGCACUGGGAGACGUAAAUAGUGAAUUUACGAUAGAUGACUUUUUAGCCUUAGUAAUCUAAACAAAAGUCGUAGAAUAUGUUAAAAUGAGAGCGUCCAUAAAAAGAACGCCCAAAUCUGACUUCGUAUGAGGAAGUUAUGAAUUUUCUAACAUUUGACAUAGCAGUACACGGUCCGAAACUCGAAUUUUAGUUCGAGCAGUUUUUAGCCUACGUGAUCUAAAUGAGAGUUGAAGAUCUCAUUAAUAGGAACUCAACGGUAAAAAGACAGACGAAAACGGAGUCCGUAUGUAGAAGUUAUGAAUUUUACGCGGACAUUUAACAGUAUAAUCUCCUCCUAGUGUUAAAUUUAAGAUCAGUUGCGAAUUAGCCGACAGACUCUAAAUGAAAGUUUUAGAUCUUAUUUUUACCUACGCGCGAAUAUAAGGAAUGUCGAGAGUAGAGCUCGUAUGUUAACGAUAUGGACGAAAUUUGGUCCCUACUCUUCGAGCGCGAUAAAUUCGAUACAGUUUUGAAAAUCUGAGACAGAAUGAGAAUUAGCUGACGGCGUCUAAAUGAAAGUUGUAGUACUCGUAAAUACCAAUGCGUGAAUAUAAAGAACGUAAAAAAUGGAGUUAGUAUGAAUGAGUUACAAAUUAUAAUAGCAUAUUUAUGUAUUAAAAUAAAGUAUAAAUCAUAUAUACGUACACAUAUAUAUAUAUACAAAUGUAUAUAUCAUUAGAAGGGUAUCGAUGAUGCGGUUAUUAUAAGACUAGUGUUGAGUACAUUUGAUGUUAGUAUAGUACAAAUAUCGUUAAAUCUAUUUAAAAUAGUAUUAUGAAUGGGUGUUUAGUCGUUUAUAUAACUAUAAGGUCAUUAAGUAAUUAUGGAGGGUAGUUUUUGUAAAUUCAAUUAUUAUAAAUAAGAGGUUUGGACUCUCAUAUUUCUUGCACCAUUCUCUUGAUUCAAGAGUAUUUCUCUUCUUAUCCCCCGAGCAUUUCGGUCCCUCGUGAUUCGACUUCUGUUUCUGUAGUUUUAGUAUAGUAAGGUGAGUGCUGAAGCGUUGCACGAAUCUUUCUUAGAAAGAUUUAGCGACAAAGUUCUGCCCCUGCAGAUCCCGACUCCUAGCUAAAACCCCUCUUGUAAGUAAGUUAUGCUUACCCUAUUUUAAUAUAGCUUAUAUUUAAAAUUAGUAUUAUUAUUAUGAACUUAUAAUAAGUAUUUGAGCUAUUAUUAUGACUUAUAUAAGUGUCGUUACAAUAUCCUUUUAACUACUCGCGGUACGGGGAAUCUGGUUUAAAGGGCCGCAUAGGGUUGUUGGAUUUCAGAAGUGCUAUAUGCCAAAAUGGUCUUGCCCUCCGGUGUUUUAUUUCUGGCCCCUGUCUGUACAUAGUGGUUGGAAAGUAUUGUUUAAACGCUUAAAUAAUAAUAAUAAUAAUAAUAAUAAUAAUAAUAAUAAUAAUAAUAAUAAUAAGACUAAUAAUUAGUCACGGUAAAUAUUAGACUAAAAUCUAGUGGUAAUAAUACUAGGUUUCGUCGAAGGAAAUUAUUUUAAAGUAAACGAAGCGCUGUCCGAGUACCGAGUCACCACCUUAUCAAGUGAGUGUAUGGUCCCUUUCAUCUUACACAUAGAUAUGAAGUAUUUUAUAUCAAUUACGUGCUAUGUGUGCAUAUUAUCUGGAUACUUGUUGUCUAUGCUGGAUGAAUGAUUUUAUAUAUGUUUUAAAUGAUUUAAACUACAUAUUUAUUUUAUAUCUACAAAUAUGUUGGGAUAAAACAUGGGUAGAUGAAAUAGUUGGUGUGUGAUGAAAUAAAAUGAUGAGAGAUAGGUGAUGAUAGGAAGGUGAUGAUAAUUAGGUGAGGAUAGAUAGGUGAUGAUGAAUCGGUGAUGUAGGAUGAAAGAUACUAUAACCUUGUCCGACAAUUUGGAGAUGUAGUCAUCUACCAGAGUAUAGAUGGCGACCACGGACUAUUAUAAACAACCCCGUGGAAGCACCAGCAGGCUCAUAACCUGUAGGUGAUGAAUUACGAGUUCAGGCAAUGUUGUAACUACGUAUUCAUGUGAUGAUACUCUAACCCUUACUAUGAAUUACAAGCUCAGACGAUGUUGUAACUACGUAUUCAUGCGAUGAUACCCCAACCCUUACUAUGAAUUACAAGUUCAGACGAUGUUGUAACUACGUAUUCAUGCGAUGAUACCCCAACCCUUACUAGGCAUGUAUGGAGGGAGUAAUCCCCGAAUCAUUGCUGUCUAUGGGAUGUAGGAGAUGAUCCUUAGGAAAAGUCCUUAGGAACGAACAUAUAAGGAAAUACGAUGUAAAGAAAUGAGUGGUAAAUACGAUAUAGGAGAUGACCCUUAACAUAGUUCUUUAGGGAAUAUUAAAUGAAGAAAAUGGGGAUGGGUAAUCGGGUUAAUUGUUUGACAUGUAUUAUGUGAAGAAACAAAUUAACUAUGUUAUUGUGGGUUGAAAACCCUAUGUACUCACCAAGUUUCCCAACCUGACCCACUUAGUUUAAUUGUAUCACAGGUGUCGAUAUAAAGCUACAUUACACUGAGAGAUUAAGGAGAUGUAAAUCACUAGUGAUAAUGAAUGUAAGUUCUGUUUAUGCUUAUGUUUCUAUAUUGACCAUGACAUCCCAAAUGUUUUAAAAUGAAUAAAAAUACUUUUCUUCAGAAAUCCUUUGAUAACGUAUUUAUCAUGUUUUACUGGGAACAAAUUCCGCAACAUUUUUAUUAAAGGAGGUACUCUGAUUUUUAUAAAGCAUAAACAUAAUCAGUCUUUUCUGGCUGUGAAAAUGGGGAUGUCACAGCUUCAUAUGUGUGCUUAGAACUUUCAAUUUACACUCUUUGUUGUGUGUCAAACUCCUUAGAACACCCAUAUUUUUGAGAUUACCCUCAAAAAGGCAAGCUAGGCUCGUAAUCCUUCUUCAUUUUCCUCUACAUUUCAAAAAAAUCCCCAAGGUGAUCUUCAUACCCCUUAUUUUUUAUUUUUCUUUAUUUUUUUGGGGGGGCGGGAUACAAGUCUAGUCUUGUGUAAACUCUUUGGAUAAUUGCAUGUAUUUAUGUGUAUGUAUGUUUAUGUGUGAUGAAAUGCUGAUAUUUCAUGCUUACACUCCAGGAGCUUGAGAUUUUGUUAAGUCUCAAGUUGUUGGAACAUAGUUAUCUUGGUGUUGUUUCAUUUAUUUUGGUGUUUUGUAAAACAUGGAAACAAGUUGUUAGCUGAAAAAUAGUUUCUCUUGAUGUGUGUUAAAAAUCACAAAAAUAUGUCCAAGAAAAUGUUAAAACAAUUUUUGGUUAUGAAAGCUUGAAAAAUGGUAAAAUAUGAACAUUUACACUCAAAAUGUUAAAUUUAAAUAUAUAAAAUUUUGCCACAAACACUUAUAAAAAUGGGUUAUUCAUGAUAAUUGUGGUAAAAAUGGGCUAUUUAUGAUAAUUGUGGUAAAAUGGGCUAUUUAUGAUAAUUAUGGUAAAAAUGAGUCAUUUAGGAUAUUUGUGGUAAAAAUGGGUUAUUUAUGAAAAUUGUAGUAAAAAUGGAACAAACUCACUUUUCCACAAAAUUUGUAUAAAUACAUAAAAUAUAAUGAAAUUUUUUAAGUUUUAUGUGCAUUGUAGAAUAAUCGAGACAUGUAAAAGUUAUUAUUAUUAUGGUGUAUAGCCUAUGGUAAUAUGUUAUUUUUACACAAAAUGUUAUAAAUAUAUUAGUUCAAAAAUUGAAUAUUUGUUAAAAGAGUUUAUAAAUAAACCUACCAAAAUGGUGAACUAAUUAGACUUUUACGACACAAAAGUUGUAUGACAUAAACUGUCUGUCAUAAAGGCUUCUAAACACUCUUAGUGCAAUGUGUAAAUUUACGACAUGAAUUAUUGCCUGUCAUAAAACAUCAGUCAUAAAUAUACACUAGGAAUGUUAUUUAUAAUAUUCAAUAAUGGGAUUCGAAAAUUUGCGUAAAUGUUGUUGAGGUUCUUGUGAGACACUCAUUCACCGUACCUCUUCAGUGUACACCGUAAGUCUUGUAGUUAUAACCAGAGUCUCCUGGAAGGAGAGCGGGAUAUUGUGUAUAGAUCUAUACAGGGUUGACGCCCCCACACCUGAGCUGUUCACUACAGCUAGACAGGCCAGUCUAGGGUGACAAAUAUCUUAUUAGAAACCAAGGCCUGAAGAACCUCAAGACACCGCUCUAGUUACAUUAGUAUGGUUGUAACGACUCACAUGGAGAAUAACAAUAUUAUUUUAAAAUUUACGCGGAAUAUACACUCUACUCAUUUUAUAAAGUACAAAACUAUGUGUCGUCUAUUUUGUAAUUAAUUUCACCACUCUGGUCUUAGGAUUUUAAGACCACGACUUUUCGUAUAACAAAAAACACAGGAUUUUCUGAGAACACUCUCUCUCUAAUUUCAAAAUAAGGAAACAAAAGAACAUGCAUGCAAUUAUACAUGAUUUGGAAUGAGACUCUCAAACUAUUUUUACAAAAAAUAUUGGAUUUUCUGGAGUUUUACAAACUAUUACAAAGUUUUCUUAAAAAUAUGCUUAUGAACUCACCAACAUUCUAUGUUGACGCUUUUCAAAACGACUCGUAUUCUCAGGGACUCAGUAAGCAGGUUUUGCAGAUAUGGAUUUUGGAUAAUUGUUGUAUUUUUGAAAUAUCAUACAUUAUGUUAUUUUUGGAUGUAACUUCAUGAACAAAUACAAAGUUGUAAACACUGCAUGUUGGUAUCUGUAAUGUAGAUGUUUGGUUGCUAUGUUUCAUUUAUAAUCAACUGUUAUGAUAUUACAAGAUGAAGUCACCCGCCCCCAGACGUUUUUGUCGUCCUGGUUCGGGGGUGUGACAUCUUUCUCCCAAAUCCCUCGAUUAGUUGAUGGUAUCAUCAUCCAUCUUUUUCUCCACAACUUCAUCAACGAUCGUUCCCCUCAAUCAAGAACCACCAACCGAAAUCCAUGGUCUCCUCCGCCAAUUGUCUCCCUUAUUGAUUGAAUAGAUUAAUAUUCAUUAUCAAUUGAUCAUGUCGUCGUCAAUCGUCACCCCAUAGAAUGAAUCAGCAAUCGGCCACCGGAUCCUCCAUCCCAGUUUCCCUUUCCUCCCCUCCAUCUCAUCAGGUAUACACAAAUUCUUUCUAUCAGCGCAUCACCUCCAACUUUUAUUCCUCGUCUUCUCCUUUCGUUGUCAGAUCUAGAUCUACAAUCGAUCCAGAUUUCCUUGUCGUUAUCACCAAUCGAUGUUGAAUUUGUAUUACUCUAACGAUCUAGGCUUCAUUGUAACUGAUCAUUGUAACAUCCAAAAUUUCAAAACAAUUAAAACUUUUCAAAAGCCACUCAUUUUAAUAAUGUUGUUACAAAAGGUUUUCAAUACAUUAUUUAACAGAGUAUUUCCCAGGUUCAAUUCAUAAAACACCAACGCGAGGAACGGUACGAUCACGCCUUUGCCUUGCUACAGACUCUUGAGAACCUGAAACAUAAAACCACAACUGUAAGCCCGAAAGCUUAGUGAGAUACCCCCAGAAUACCAACCACAUAUACGCCUUUCCAGGCCAUGACCUUCCGGUCCACAUAGUAAUGCCUUCCGGCCCAUAACAUAUCGCCUUCCGGCCCAUAACAUAUUGCCUUCCGGCCCAUAGCAUAAAACGCAUACAUAACAUAACAAAUCAUAGAACGACCCUGCAUACCGGGUCACACCCCAGAUCUAGCAAUCAUACGCAUAACACAUAAUCAUAUAACAGUUCACAGUUAGCAAUUGAUCAACAGAUCACAUAACGUAGCAUUACUCUAAUCAAGAUACCGGACUAACCCGUCACUAGCAUAACAUAAUCAUAGGAAUCAGUCAAUAUACUAAUUACACACAUACGCCUUUCCAGGCCAUGACCUUCCGGUCCACAUAGUAAUGCCUUCCGGCCCAUAACAUGUAUUGCCUUCCGGCCCAUAACAUAUAACAACUGACAACUACCCGGAUUUCCAUCCGAUAAAAGGGUUGGCAUUGGUGCCAUAAACCCUAGCGAUAUAGUGAGGAUAACUCACCUCGAAACUGCCGACUGAACAGAUAGCUCAAGCUGCUCCGAUCACUGAUACGAUCUCCACCUCUGGACAGUCACCAAUGCACUGAACUCAAACAAUAACAACAAUUACCAAAAUACCCCUGGAACCACUGGUAAAUCCUUGGUCAAAGACAAGGUCAAAGUCAACCCCUGACUGACCCUACUCGCCGAGUCAACCCUAUGACUCGCCGAGUCCCCAUACUCAGAACUUCACUUAACCCGCGACCUAACUCGCCGAGUCACCCCAAGACUCGCCGAGUUCAACGACUCUGAGUCCACUCGCCCUUGACUCACCGAUUCCUUAAGAUUCCCUUUCUACACGUCGAGUAUCCCCUUUUUACUCGACGAGUUUCUCCUGGAAGAAUCGCGGGGCCACCCCGACUCAACUCGCCGAGUCUGAAGAACGACUCGACGAGUCCCAGUAAAUCUUCAAGCUACUCGCCGAGUCUGUUCAUCGGACUCGGCGAGUCCAUGCCAUGCAACCUCUCAAACUGCUUUCUAAUGGCAGAACUGCUCCGACCAUUCAUAAGUCUGGCCUUCCUAGACUGAUCCAUCACGUAAGGUCCUCAUUUCAGUGCUCAUGAUACACCCCAUGAUUCAUAAUUCACAUUUUGACCUAAGGCAUAAGGAUUCCAAUCCAAAGCCUUCAUCAAUUCCCGAAAUGCACAGGCAUGGGACAUUCUGGACCUACAAAGGUCCCAAUACAGGGUUACAAUCGUUUGGGGGACUAGGGUAACAUUCAAUCUAGUCACAAAAGGGGUUCCAUAAACCCUAAUUCCAUGACUCAUCAACAUAGCAGAGCAUAACUCGAAUUCUUACCUGAAUAAUGUGCCCUCUGUGUCCCCAAAUCCUCAAAACGUGACUCCCUUGCUGUUCCUUUAGCCAAGCCCUUCUCUUCCUUGCACAACAACUCUUCCAAGAUCAACAAUGGCCCUUAAAGUUUGCUCCAGAUGUACCCAAUCGAUUUAGGGUUCUUCUCAGAAGGCUAAAAUGAACAAUGACGGCCAAUAAGUGCCUCUUAUACGUCCCAAACCUGAACGGUUAGGAUUUUCGCUAAACAGCGCAGACUCGCCGAGUCCAUAUCUGGACUCGUCGAGUCCAGUCGCGAACCCGCGACCCGGUCUGCGAUCCUACUCGGCGAGUCUAGGCUCCGACUCGCCGAGUCCCCUCUUAAAACACCCCCAAAAUCAUAAUUAUAUCAAUAUUUGGAAUUCCAGGCUGUUACAAUCAUCAACAAUUCAUCCUUACUUUUUGUAAUAUUUGAAUCGAUUGUGGUUUGCUUUCAAAUCUAUUCGCUUUCAAAUCUAUUCUUCUGAGUUCUUUCUGGCCUUCAUCUCUUUCCUCCUCAUCGACCUACACAUCAUUUUCCCUAUCACAGAAACAUGAGUCCAAGAGAAGAUAGUGUUGGACACGUGGAUGAGGUACUAUGCUUUUUUUUUUCUGAAAUUGAAUUUCCUAGAAAGUAGAAACAUGAUUAAAUCGAUGUUAUUGUAUCUGUUUUGAUUGUAUACGGUCUACCUCACUUGAUUGAGUGGUUUUGGCUAUAAAAGCUUGAUUAAACUUAUUAUACACAAUUGUCUACAACUGCAUCAGAAAAUACAGGACAUGAUUAGAGCAGUGACUGGAAAGACAACAACACAGGAAAUCAUGCUCUUCACCUUCCAUUCACUCUCAUUACAACUGUGUCGCUUAUCGAUUUAAUCAUCUACUCUGUCAAACUGCUUUAUCAAUUUCCCUAAAGGUUAGACUUGUAUGUAUAUUUGAUUUGAUUUUCAUUUAAGUUAAACAUUUCAUUUUUUUGACAUUUAUUGGUUGUAUAUAUUAUAUCACUUGAAGUUUUCAAGGAGUGCUAGGAAUCAUGGCAAGCGAUUGUAGUAGAUGAGUUUCAAUUUUGUUGGUAGUUUAACUGCAUCUAUCAUUUGAUGUGAAUUGUUUUGCUUUGUGUCUUUUUAGGAUAAAUCAUCAAUUUUCGUCCACAUAAAAUAGAAUCAUUGUUUUUUCAUUAUAAAACUCCAUAUUUUUAUAUCAUAUUUUUUCUUAGUAGGAAGUAUAUCUUUGUGUAUUGCAGACUCUAUGUAGUGAUGUUCAAGUUGUUGUGAAGAAAACGUAUGGAGAUGCUUGACCAACAAUCGUGCUAAUUGGUUACAGGUUUCUAAUUCACUUUAAGCCCAUAAUGUUGUUACUAUUAAUUGGUAUAAUAUUUUAGUAAAUAAUUGGAAGCAAGACUAUAAAUGUGUAGUGAUUCACAUGUAAAUCACAAGUGAAUCACACAUGAAUCACAUGUGAUUCACAUGUAAAUCAUAUGUAAUUCACAUAUGAAUCACAUGUGAUUCACAUGUAAAUCAAAAUUACACCUAAUUCACAUGUAAUUCACAUAUGAAUCGCAUGUAAACAUUAUUCACAUGUAUAUCACAUGCAAUCCACAUGUAAUUCACAUAUGAGUCACAUGUAAAUCACAAUUACACGUGAUUCACAUGUAAUUCACAUAUGAAUAAGAUGUAAUUCACAUGUAAAUUACAAGUUGGUAACAUAUAAAUAACCUAUGAUUCACAUGUAAUAGCACGUAAACAUGUCACAUCACAUCACAUAAUCUAAACACAUACUAACAGAUCUUGUCCUAAGGCGUCGCCUAUCUCUGGGCCCCGCCCUUGUCCUGCUACUGAUGAUUCAUGGAACCCCGUCCAUACUCCUGCUGAUAGUGAGGCACGGGCCCAGCCCACCCUCACUCCUUCCCUAACUUGGGCCUCGCCCCUGCUUUGCUGCUACUGAGAUGUGGAACACCAUCGACACUCUGCUAUUGGUGAGAUACGAGACCUCGCCCACACUCACCUCCCUACCAGGCACAUACAAGUAUCACACAGACAACAAGUAUAAACUAUCACAUAAACCAUUCCUUGGGCACCCGCCCUCUAUCAUUGGACCUCGUCCCGAAUAUCAUACUGGCAUACUGUGCCUAGGGCUAACCCCCGGGUCUUCUACUCAUAACUACAUGGGCCGGCAUUGUGGCCGUAGACCCAUUCAUACAAAGGGAAACUCACCUGCACUGGCUGAACUGGCUGAUGAACCCACUAGCUGCUGCCCGACAACUCUCUGAACUCCUGCUCCACUCGCUCNNNNNNNNNNNNNNNNNNNNNNNNNNNNNNNNNNNNNNNNNNNNNNNNNNNNNNNNNNNNNNNNNNNNNNNNNNNNNNNNNNNNNNNNNNNNNNNNNNNNNNNNNNNNNNNNNNNNNNNNNNNNNNNNNNNNNNNNNNNNNNNNNNNNNNNNNNNNNNNNNNNNNNNNNNNNNNNNNNNNNNNNNNNNNNNNNNNNNNNNNNNNNNNNNNNNNNNNNNNNNNNNNNNNNNNNNNNNNNNNNNNNNNNNNNNNNNNNNNNNNNNNNNNNNNNNNNNNNNNNNNNNNNNNNNNNNNNNNNNNNNNNNNNNNNNNNNNNNNNNNNNNNNNNNNNNNNNNNNNNNNNNNNNNNNNNNNNNNNNNNNNNNNNNNNNNNNNNNNNNNNNNNNNNNNNNNNNNNNNNNNNNNNNNNNNNNNNNNNNNNNNNNNNNNNNNNNNNNNNNNNNNNNNNNNNNNNNNNNNNNNNNNNNNNNNNNNNNNNNNNNNNNNNNNNNNNNNNNNNNNNNNNNNNNNNNNNNNNNNNNNNNNNNNNNNNNNNNNNNNNNNNNNNNNNNNNNNNNNNNNNNNNNNNNNNNNNNNNNNNNNNNNNNNNNNNNNNNNNNNNNNNNNNNNNNNNNNNNNNNNNNNNNNNNNNNNNNNNNNNNNNNNNNNNNNNNNNNNNNNNNNNNNNNNNNNNNNNNNNNNNNNNNNNNNNNNNNNNNNNNNNNNNNNNNNNNNNNNNNNNNNNNNNNNNNNNNNNNNNNNNNNNNNNNNNNNNNNNNNNNNNNNNNNNNNNNNNNNNNNNNNNNNNNNNNNNNNNNNNNNNNNNNNNNNNNNNNNNNNNNNNNNNNNNNNNNNNNNNNNNNNNNNNNNNNNNNNNNNNNNNNNNNNNNNNNNNNNNNNNNNNNNNNNNNNNNNNNNNNNNNNNNNNNNNNNNNNNNNNNNNNNNNNNNNNNNNNNNNNNNNNNNNNNNNNNNNNNNNNNNNNNNNNNNNNNNNNNNNNNNNNNNNNNNNNNNNNNNNNNNNNNNNNNNNNNNNNNNNNNNNNNNNNNNNNNNNNNNNNNNNNNUCGACCCGGAUCCCGCUCGGACUCGCCGAGUUCCUCCUUGGACUCGCCGAGUCUCCCCUUAAAAUUAGGGUUUUUCUUUCCUUUCUUGGCCUUCAAAACUUUGGGUGUUACAUCCACCAUAUGAGCUCUUAUAUCGACAAAUAUGUCGCACCCUAGUCUGUUGGGGUGAGAUCGGUCACAGGGUGAUGGGACGGACAUAGGUAAUUCUACAGACUACCGAGAGGAUUCAACAGAUCAGACAGCGGCUGUAGACCGCUUAGAGUCAGCAGAAGAGUUAUGCUGAAAAACGUCGAUCUGAGCUGGAGUUCCAAGUAGGUGACAUGGUACUCCUGAAGGUCUCACCCUGGAAGGGUGUGAUUUUGCUUUAGGAAGAGGGGGAAAUUGGGUCCCUGGUACAUUGGGCCGUUCAGGAUCAUUGUCAGGGUUGGCAAGGUAGCAUAUAGACUGGAUCUCCCAAAGGAGCUUAGUCAGGUCUACAACACUUUCCAUGUGUCAUAGUUACGAAAGUGUAUAUUGGGUGAGGAGGCAGUAGUAUCGUUGGAUGAUAUUAAGGUCGAUGAGCGCCUGAAUUACAUGGAAAGGCCAGUGACCAUUCUUGAGAGGAAGGUAAAAAUCCUACGAAAUAAGGAAGUACCUUUGGUAAAGGUACAGUGGCGGCACCGGAAGGGAUCCGAGUGGACAUGGGAGUCAGAGGCAGAGAUGCGGGAGCACUACCCAUACUUGUUCGCCGCAACAGACUUCGAGGACGAAGUCUAGUUCAAUUGGGGGAGAAUUGUAAUACCCCGACUCCCAGGUACAAGUUUUAAAGCAUUAUAUACAUGUUUAUGGACCUACUUGACGAGUUGCUUACCCCAACUCAUCCUGUAGAGGCAGGUUAGCCCGCAUGGAUUAUUGGACCUACUCGACGAGUCGGAGGACCCUGACUCAACGAGUAGGAGCUGGAAAAUGAAACCCUAAUUUUUAGGGUUUGCACCCUAUUUAAAGGACCUUAAGCCCUUACCCCCAGCCCCUUACCACCUUUUUGACGACCAGAUGAAAUCCUAAUCAUUCUAACCUUGUUCUUGAGUGUUUAAGAGGCUAAAGUGUACUUUUGGUGCUUUUGAUUGAAGAAGCCUGGAGUUUUAAAAGCUUGGAACGGGAAUAAGAGGGUAGAUCUAAUAUCUACAUUGUCUUGGCUUGCUUUAAAGGUAAAAAGACUCUACCUUGGUCUUCUAUUUAUUAGAUCCCUUCUUAAGUGAGAAUGUGAGCAUUUUGGUGGAAAAUGGGGUUAUUUUCGGAUUUGAGCUUGUCACAAGGGCAUAGUUUCAGAUUUGGACUCCUCUAGACCUUUAUGGACAUAAAGACUCAAGCUUUAUGAGGCUUUGGCUCUCCUUCAUGUCUAAAACCUUCUUCUAAGGCUAGUUAUGAGUGUUUUAGGUUCAUGGAGUUUUGCAUGCACGUAAAGUUAGCAACUUUACGUGAUAAUCACACCCUAGGAGCCUAGAUCUACGGUUUGGAGCUUUGGUUUCACGAAAAAGCAUCUGUAUGAGAAAUGGACUGAGGGGACUCGACGAGUUGCAUGGUCAACUCGACAAGUCCGAUGAAGAUUGGUCGUUGUUGGUUCUGCAUGGACUCGGCGAGUCAGGAAGACGACUCGACGAGUCAGUUAAGGUUUUCCCGACAUUUGGACAUGCAUGGACUCAACGAGUUGUAUGGAAACUCGACGAGUCAACUAGGGUUUUUGCAGCUUUUCGAGUUCUGGAAGGACUCGACGAGUCAAUGAACUGCACUCGACGAGUUGGAUCAACAUGGACUAUUGACCUUGACCGUUGACUUUAACUUUGACCGAUAAUGGACCAGGUUGACUUCUUGGGGUAUUUUGGUAAUCUGGGAAUUUAUGGAAUUGGAUCAUUUGUGGAUGUAGGUGUUGGAGUUGGAGGAGUUCGAUACUAUCAUUUCCGAGCUAUUUGUGAGGUGAGUUGUCCUCACUAUACUAACAGGGUUGAAGGCGCCAAUGUCGACCCUUUAUGGAAUUGUAUCCAGGUUAUUUGCAUGAUACGUUUAUUAAUUUACAUCCUAGUAGUUAGGAUGGUGAUAUGCUUAGUGACCGCUUAGGUCGGUAUCCUGGUAAAAAGGAUAAUGCUAUGUUAGUGACCGGUUAGGUUGGUAUCCUGGUUAUAGGAUGUUGCUAUGAUUAUUUAUCUGUUAGAUUAGUUUGACUGUUACAUACAUGCUGGCGUAUGAUAUUUAUGUGCACAUGAUUGUUUGAUUAGGGGUUGGGUUGAUGCGGUCCUGCUUUGUGCUGAAGGCCAACAUACCCAGGGCGGUCCGGAUAGACUGAAGGCCUUGCGAGGCGGUCCGGUUAGGUCGAAGGCCCUACGAGGCGGUCCAGACUUGUUGAAGGCUCGGGGAGCGGUCAAGAUAGACUGAAUGCCUGCGAGGCGGUCCAGUCAGGCUGAAGGCUCAUUAUACAUGUUGUUUGUUUAUAUGAUAUGAUUAUGAUUAUGAUUUUAUGACGUUGGUAUUUUGGAGAAACUCACUAAACUUCGGGCUUAUAGUUGUUGAUUUUGUUUCAGGUACUUCUGAUGAUCGUUGGAAGGCGAAGGCGUGAUCGUGCACCUCCUUAUAUUUUCAUGAUUUGAUUCUGGGAUACUCUGACACUAAACCAUUUUGAAAACAAGUUUUGUAAUUAUUAUUGGUUUUGAAAUGUUUUAAAAAGUUUAAAUUUUGCAUGAUUUUUAUGAGUGUUACAUAUCUGCUUCAUUUUUGUUCUUGAGUGUAACCCAAAAUGACAUUGUUAUUUAUAGUAAUAUUAUCGGACUUUGCUAUGACUUUGGGCAUUUAUCUCCAUCAGUUACAAUAUUAUUCCACAUAAUAAAAUAUUUCAAACAAAAUAACAUGACCACCAAAUCUAUGAAUAAUAUAUACAAAUUCACGAUCUCAUUUCCAAAGUUUUCCAAUUUAAAUUCAAACAUAUUUCACAUAUUCUCUUUUAACAGCAAGAUGAAAAGGUCACAACUAAGGUUUUCAAAUAUUAUUGAAAGACAUUGAAUCACAACAAGUGUUCACUCGUCGAGCUCUACCUUAGCCUUCUCCUUUGCCCACCUCAACCUUUUCCCUUGGUGACACAAUUGGCUUUUGAACAUCCUCAGGUGUUUAUCAAGCCACAUCAACAACAGAGCUAAGGAGUCUUGUCAACCUACUCCGUUCGACCGCCUAAGAAUGAUUAUUGUUAAUUUCUUAAAAAAAAAAAGACUUUAAUGGAAAGUUGAUUUCAUCUCCCAAAAAUAAGUAAUUAUGUACAAUGAGCACAUUUAAAUAAGCAAAUACAAUAUAAAAUUAAUAUUUAUAAGUGUAUUACGUAAAAAUGGUGAAAUAAUUUUUUUUAUUGGUAUAGACACAAGGCAAACUCAUUUCUAUGUUCAAUAAGAUGACAAAGCAGGAUACCAAUUCCUACUCCAUUUUGAAUUUCAAAUUCUUCAUGAACCCUUCUCAUAAUGUAUUUGUGCCGUUUCAAAACCAUCGUCAACGGUAAUAUUUUCAUUGAAAAAUACAACACUCUCUUUGAUUUCAAGAAGACACGAAGAACAUUAUCACAGUCUCUUUGAUUUCAAUUUUCAAGAACCCAGCCAUGUAUGAGGACAAAGAGAUCCACAUUCAGGUGAAGAAAACUCCGGCAUUCACUGUACUGAAGAACGGUUCCAUCCUCAAGAACAUCUUUCUUUUACGCAAACCACCUCCCUUCUCCACCGAACAACCUGCAGCCGGAACAUCAUCGAUAAAUCAGGACUCCGAUGAAGAAAUUUUGCUUGUUGGACGACACCCAGAUUGCAACAUUACUCUGGAGCACCCUAGUAUCAGCAGAUAUCAUCUCCGUAUCCACUCAAAUCCGUCUUCACAUACGCUCUCAAUAGUUGACCUAUCAUCAGGUAAAAUUGUUUAAUCUUCUUUGACUAUAUUGUAUUGGGAUUGGGGGAAAUGAUUCAUUACUAUCUAUUUGAUAUUGUUAAAAUCGUAGUUCACGGAACAUGGGUGUCGGGGAAGAGAAUUGAACCAGGGGUUUCCGUGAAACUGAAAGAGGGAGACACGGUGAAGAUGGGUGGUUCAAGUAGGGUUUACGAGCUGCAUUGGGUCCCAUUGAACCAAGCUUUUGAUGUUAAUGAUCCAUUCGUGCCUCCCACCUUCAGAAAACAAGAAGAAACACAGGUAUCUAUCAGUAUUCUUACUCUUUUCGAUUAAAAUUAUCUAAAGUUCACGAUUGUGAUGCGUAAAUAUGUCUGCCUGCAAGCUGUUCGAUGAAUUGCCUCUUUAUGUUUGUUCUUUCUUUUUCUUGAUUUAUAUAGGAUGAAAGUUGCUCGUAUGAUCUUGAGACACAUUCCUCUAAUGAGGAUUUGGAGAGUUCGGAAUUUUCAUUUUCCAACACGAAUCUUCAUUCCUCCUUGGAGAAAUUGAACCCAUCGACAUAUUCAGCACCAAACUACUUAAAUUCUUCAUGUGAUGAGACUGAGGUAGAAGAACACAUGACUCCAUCUAAAAAAGGAAACCAAAAUGGUGAAAUCUUUAGCUCAAAAGCUGGAAUAGAAAAUCAAUCCCAUGAAGAACAGUUUUCUGUGCUUAACAACUCAAAAGCUGAUGAGUUUGAUACAGACAAUGGAAGUGAUGAAAUUUUUGCAAUUCUGUCAGUUCAAGCCCCAAUUGUUGUCUCUGAAUCUUUAUCUGAAACAGAGAUCUUUGAUAGCAUAAACAAACCAGAAGAUCUUUCUGUGGCUCUUUUUGAUGCUAUUGAAACCCAUGAAGAAGAAGAAAUAGAAAAAGGCAAUGAGAUUAAUAUAUGCACUGAUGAAUCAGAUUCUAUGGUUCUUUGCACAUCAUUCAUUUCAAGACAAGAUGUAGAUAUGGGUGUUAGAUUUGAAUCAGGAAAUCAUGAAAUUAUGAAGAAAGAAUCGAAUUUUUUGGCCCUUUUGGAUGAAACAGACAUGGAUCAAGAAACAAGUUUUACUCCAGAAAUAUCAAGAGCCAAAGAAAAUUCAAGGACUCUUUUUGAUAGUUUAAAUGGAAAGGAAUUGGAGUUUUUUACACCAGAUAAAGAGAACAAGGAUCCCAAUGUUUGUUUAAUGAAAUCUUUGAGAAAAUGGAAGGAAGAUGAAUGUAAAGGAUCAAACAUCUGUGCAAUGUUGAAGGAAGCUGUCAGUGAGGGUAGAAAAGACAUUUUUGAUGUGUCAGAGUAUGAUGAUGAAAAGGGCAUUGAUUCAUCUAAUGUAAGUUUACUUUUACUUUCAUAUCAUAUCAUUAUUUAUAAUUUACCCUUAGUAAUUGGCUCUUUUCAGGGAGGGGAAAAGAAAAGAUGGAAUAUGAUACUAGACACUAAUACCCUUCUUCACAAAGAGUCUUUAAAGCAUUUGAAACUCCUACAAGGCCUCAAAGGGACUCAACUUUUCAUACCCAAAAUCGGUAAAUAACAUAUAAGAUUAUCAUGUUAUUGUCAUAUAAAUCUACUAACACUUUUCUUCAAUCAGUGUUAAAGGAACUAAAGGAAAUAAAGAGGCAACAUGAUCAUGAUUUGUUCAACAUAACUACAAAAAAGGUUUCUUUAGCAUUGAAAUGGAUUGAUGAAUGUAUGAUGACUACAAAAUGGUGGAUUCACAUGGAAGAUGAUGAAAUUGAAACAGAAAUUAAAGUUCUUGAAACUGCUAUUCAGUUAUGCAAAGAAAGUAAAGAUAGAAAGGUUAUCAUUCUUAGCAAUGAUGUUUCACUCAAGAUCACAUCCAUGGCAGAAGUAAGUCUUUUUUUUUUUUUUUACUCCAUGGUUACUUGUUUUAGUUGGUUUUGUGUUGAUGUAAGUGUGUUGUUUUUUUUAAGGGAAUUAUGUGUGAAGAAGCAGAAGAGUUUUAUAGGAGCUUGGUGAAUCCAUUUUCAGAGAGGUUUAUGUGGAUUGGGAGUUUGGGAAGAGGACUUACUUGGUCAUGUGUAGAUGAUGAUGUUUUGAGAGAAAAAUAUUUGGGAUUUGGGGUAAAUGUGUCAAAUAGGUUUAAGGGUUUGAAGUUUUUGGCACAUUUAACAACUUUAUAAAUACUUUACUUGUGAUUUUUCCUGUCAUAUGAUGAUUCAUGUAUCAUUAGUUUAUGAUUCAAUCUAUCUCUAGUGGUUUGAAUUUGAUGGGCUAAAUGCAAGAAGAUAAAGCCUUGUAUUUUCAAUUUGUAGUAUAUAGCAAGCAUCCUACUUCAUUUCUUGUAGUGAUUUUUGUAUGCAUUAAUAAUAACUUUUAAAAUUAAAAUAAAAGAGAAAAGAGAAAAACAAUAAUAGGGUCUAUGCUUUAUAAUCAUAGAACAAAAAAAUACAUGGUUAGUCCGAACGAAAAAGAACAAAAAAAAUACAUGAUUAGUCCGAACGAAAAAGAAAAAAAUAAUACAGGGGUAGUCCGAACAAAAAAAGAAAUAGUCCAUAUUAAUUAUCAAAAAGACAAGAACUAUUAUUAAGAGCAAGAAUUAUUACUAAGGGCAAUUCACUAUUACUAAGGACGUUGAUAUAUGAUAAUAUGAAGAGUCAUAUCUCUAUUAUUAAGACAUCAAGGUAAUUUAUAUAAAUGAUCCCUAAAGUUAUUUUUUUUAUAUAAAUGGUCCUUAGAGUUAAAUUCAUUGUUAAAAUUAUUAUUAUUAUUAUUAUUAUUAUUAUUAUUAUUAUUAUUAUUAUUAUGCUAGGGAUUAAACCUAUGACCUUAUAGUUAGAAACAUCUUGUUAGCCAAGUGGGUUAACCCAACUUGUAUUAAAGUCAUUGUUAUUAACUUAUGGAUUAUCGUAAUGAAAAUACAAUCCAAUAAUAAUACGAAUGAAAAAUAACACAUUCAUAGUCCAGGCGAAAACAAUUACAUAUGGAUAGUUAGAACGAAAAAAUAACAUAUGGAUAGUUCGAACGAAAAACAAAAAUACAGUUAUAUAUAAAAGCAGUUUUUCUAAAACACACAAUCAAAAACAAAAUAAUAUAAUUAAUUAAAACUACUACAAUAUUAAUAAUAAUAAUAAUAAUAAUAAUAACACCACCACCACCAACAACAACAAUAAUAAUAAUAAUAAUAAUAAUAAAAAAAAAAACAAAACACAAGAACAAGAAAACAACAAAAACAUCAAAUCAAAAUGAGUUUAUUUAUGUCAAAUCACAAGGAGUUUUUAUUUAUGUCAAAUAAGGGAUAUGCAAAACAAUACCGAAAAAAUAAAAUAAAAGAAAUGAUGUUAUUUUUUGUAUUUAACAUGUGGUUUGAUUGCUUGUGUUGAUCUUUCUUCCAUUUUUUAUCUGUACGAUUUUAUUGAACAAGAAUUUGGGCUCCUUAUGUGGAGUAAAAAUCCCACCCGAUCUUCAUCUAUAUCACCGAUAUCAUUUUCUAAUUCUCAUGAACAUUUAUUGAGCAUUCAGUUCACACUUUGUUUUUGGAAGAAAUGAAAUUUGCCAAAGAAAUUUUAAUACGAAUGAAAUUCAAUCACAUUCUUUAGCUAUCUAUCAAAGAAAUCGGAAUGUAGAUUAUGUUAAAGAAAGAGUGUGCAUGUGUUUUAAUGGGUCUACGAGUCACUUGUCUUUUAAUGAAACAACGAAUGAAAUUCAAUCUCUAGGAAUGAUCAAAUCCCUUAAACAUGCUUUUUGACACCAAAACACAACACAUUAUGGAAUUUUAGAUUCUAACUCUCGAGUACCAUUUAGGGUUACAUGCAAGAAUAACAACAUCCUUUCAUCAAUAUGUUGAUGACACCAUCCUACUUUCUUUUCUUCCUAUUACAUCAUUAUACCUUGAAAAUUCUAUAAUUCAAAUAGAAUACAACUUUAACAGUCAUAAUCAAAUACUUUUUCAAAAUACAAUGUCCUAACAAGAAAUAUACCGGAUAUACAAUGCUAUAACUAGGUAGAUAUUUCAAGGCGUACCAAAUCUUAAUAAGACGAGUACAAUGAUAUAACCUAAAGAAAUGAAAGUAUGGUGCCAAAAUACACAAAUAAAUGAAAAUACAUCAUCAUUUCUUGCAUUUAGCCCUUUCAUUUACUUCAUAUGUACUCUUAUUUCUAGCACUUAGCCCAUAAAUACAUCUGACUUGGAUUUUGUGUCAAAUCAAACUUUCUAACACAAUUUGAUUUUGUCACAAAGCUUCACACUUUAGCAAUUUACAUUUCAACUUCAAUGGAUCUAGAUCUAUCACAAGCACAACAAUAAAUACAUGCUUUUCAAACCACAAAAUCUCAUAAGCAUUAAAAAAAAAAUCCCAUAAUUUAUCGAGUUUCAUCUUGUCUUUCCACAUCAUUGAUGUCUACUGGCUCAGGGAAAAUCUCACUUGACAAUCUUUUAUCAUUCGCACCACUCCCUUGAGAAUUCUCUCUCCUUUGACCACUAACACCCUCUCUGCUCUUUUGACUUUGACUAUGAACACUCCCUGAAAAGCUUUGCCUCCAACUACCAAACAAAGCAGCACUCCAAGACCUUCUAGAAGAAUUAUUCCUUAAUCUCCCCGAACUAAAGUCUUCUUCCCUCACAACCCUAAAAGGGUUUUCCAAUGCUUUUAAAAUAUGAGCCAUUUGAGGCCUUUUUGAUGCCUUUGGAUUUAGACAAGAUUUUGCUACUAUGGCUACAGCCCACACUUCUUCCAUUAAGUCUUCAUCUAUCACUAAAGAUUGGUCAACAAUCUUGGAUACAAGUUCUUUGUCAUAGUUGUUGAUGAAAGAUAAUGUUUGCUCCACCCAUUCAGAAUUAUUUAUUCCGAUUUUGCCCGUUACAAGCUCCAGUAACACCUUUCCAAAACAAUACACAUCGUAUGCACAAAUUGGGGGUGAUGAUGACCCUGUUUUGUAAAUAAAAAAAAUUUACAAAUAUAAGUUUCAAACCGAUAAUGUUUCUUCAUAUUAUAAUAUGUUAUACUGUGUUUGACAUAUAUUGCACUGAGACUGAUGUCAAUCAGAUCAAUAUACUACUUUUUUGUCCUAUCCAAAAGUUUCAACUCAAAGAUAUGACUGUUACUGUUACUGUUACUGUUACUGUUACUGUUACUGUUACUGUUACUGUUACUGUUACUGUUACUGUUACUGUUACUGUUACUGUCUGUACGUACCAGAAGGAGUUGGUUCAGAGUUCCUGGACAUAUACAAAGGAGAAAAAGAUAUAAAUAUGUUUGUAAGAGAAACAAUAAAAAGAAAGUGAAAUAAGACAAUAUAAAAUAUUAUUUUGUAAAUAAUUCUUACGAAGAAAUCCGCAAAAGCCUUGAGAUAACAUUUUGAUUGUCUUCCACUCCUUGAACACAAACUUCACUCAAGCUUCCAAGACGUACAUCGUAUUUAUCAUCAAGUAGAAUACUGCUUGCUUGAAUAUCUCUAUAAAUAAUAAUAAAUAAAAAAAACAAUAAAGUAUCUGCAAAAAAAGUUUUUCUUCCAACAACCCCUAAGUUGUGCCCUUCUUGAUAAACAUCAUGUCAGAUGUAAAUCAGGUAUAAAAUUAUUAAGUUAAAAAGAAUGAAGUUGUUGAAUAAUACCUAUGAACAAUGGGAGGAUUGCAUUCAUGAUGUAGAUAAGAUAACCCUUCAGCAGCUCCAAUAGCAAUUUUUAAUCUUGUGAUCCAAUCUAAAGAUUGUAAACCAGAAUCUUCCAAACUAGUAGACCUAUAUAAAGAAUUUGAAAGAUCCCCAUUUGGCAUGAAUUUAUAAACAAGAAGCUUCUCAGUUUCAUGUUCCAAACAAUGUCCCAAAAGUGGCACUAAUCUUGUGUGCAUACCCUUUCCAAACAACUCCAAUUCUGACAUGUAACAAUCUUUUCUUGACACACGCAUAUCGACUCUUUUCACAACAAUAGAAACUCCAUCUUCUAAUUUCCCUUUAAAGAUGUCUCCAGUGUGUCCAUGUUUCAUGAGAUUUGAAUCACUGAAACCACUUGUGGCUUGUAAAAUUUGCUCAUAUGAAAAUGAGUCAAACAUUAAGUUGACUGAAAUGGUUUGACCCUUUUCGAUUCCUUCUUCUUGAACAGGUUCUACAUUUGCACUUCUUUGGCUUACUGAUCUUUUGUUACAUGGUUUAAAUACUAAAAAUAGUAUUAUAACUAUGAUUAUAAAGACACCAAGUCCACCAAAAACUCCAGCCAUAACGUAUUUCAAACGGUUGUUGUUGCUCUUUCUAGGGAGUUGAGGUUGCAAUGGAGUUGUGGGAUUGGAAUUGGAAUCACCAUUGAAAGGUAGAUUUCUUAGAAGAUAGAAUGUUCUACAAUCAUCUAAGCUUCUUUGGUUUGGGAUUCGAAUGAAGCAGUUUCUUGAUAUUGAAGUUGUGUUUUCAAGAUUGACAUUUAAACCCUGGAGAUAGUUGUUGGAUAGAUCGAUGGAAUCCAGAGUUGAGACACUGGAAUCCAGGAUUCCGUAGAAUUGGUUGUUUGAGAAGUUUAAGGUGACACCAGAAGUGUUUGGGAAUGUUGAGAGGUCUGGGAGAUUGCCAGUGAAGUUGUUGCUUGAUACAUCAAGAAGGAUGAUAUUUGGUGUGAAGUUGGAAGAAAGAUUACCUCCCAAAUUAUUGUUUUUAACUGAUAAUCUCCUCAAAUUGGUUAAAUGACCUAGUUCAUUUGGAAAUGAUCCAGAGAAUGAAUUGAAUCCAAGAUCAAGGUCAACUAACUGAGAAAGGUUUCCAAGCUGUAUAGGGAGAGAAGAAGCAAGACUAUUGUUGGAAAGAUUUAAGGAUUGAAGACUAGAAAAUGAACCGAAGUUCAUAGGGAUCGGGCCAGAUAAGAAAUUUGAAGAUAAAUCAAGAGCUGUGAGGUUCGCGAGAGCUGAAAAUGAAGUGGGUAUGGAUCCUGUUAACAUAUUCAGCGACAAAUUUAGAAUCGAUAGUGAAGAAAGUUCCCUCAGAGAAUCUGGGAUAAUCCCAGUAAGGAAAUUAUUGGCAAGAAGAAGACGAUUGAGUUGAUUUAGAGAACCAAUUGACGAAGGAAUUGGACCCAAGACUGAGCUAGACGUAAGGUCGAGCACCUGGAGUGCACUAAGAUUUUGUCCUAACCAAUCAGGGAUUUGCCCUGGAAGAGCAAAUCCUGAAGAAUUAAAGGUACCCAAUUGAGUACAUCGAACCAAAGAAUCGAUAGAAAAAGAAGGGGAACGAUGUCCAACACGAGUUCGUUGCAAACCGGACAAAUUUAUUCCGGUGACCCUGCCGUUGCUGCACUCCACCCCUGUCCAGUUUGCACAUGGGUCUAACUUCCUCGGCCAGAAUCUGGCUUUUAUUCCUAAGGAAGCUCGAAGAUCGAACAGCGCCGUUCGUUCUACACCGGAACUCAGUCGCCGCACCGUCGACUGGGUCAACACCGAGUUAACCAGCAACAGGAAGAUGAAAAAGAAAUGGAAUAAUACCUUGAGCAUAGCUUCCAUGAUUACCCGAAACAGAAAUGACCUUUAAUCCAUUUCAAGUGUCGAACCAGACAUAAUAACUCGUUCAAAACUUGAAAUCUUAAUCCCUGUGCGAAGUAACACUGUUUCCUGUACAGAAAGAAUGACACUGCUAUAAUUGGAAACGCUGAAAACAAGGGCCGUUCAUCAUACGCCCAUAACUAUAUGACGAUUGAUGUGAUGGCGAUGUCCGUGCAAAUCAUAAUACCCAUAACUCCUCUGUGCGCCGAGUCUGUGUAGAAUUCGGGUGCAAAAAACAAACCCUUUGUUUGAAUUAAUUAAAUGCAAUUUACAAGAGGCGCGUUCUGUUGUAGAAAUGGGUGUAGGAUAUUUCUUCAAAAUCUGUGUCUGUGUGUGAUGCGAGAGCUUUAAUGGCGGAGCAUUAAAGGAAGCACCAUAUUCUCAACAACAAAGGUGAAGAACAAUAAAUGGGGGUGUGGGGAAACCUCAAGAGGCUAGGAAAGAACACAACCAGAUUGCUAUGUGUAUGUGAGAGAGAGGGGAAAGGAGGGAGAAAAGUUGCUGGUUUUGUUUUGGUGACUCGUUGACCGAAGAAUGGAGGAAGAAAGUGAGCUCUUUUUCUGUAUUGAGAAACAAUGCUCGUUUGCUUGUACUCUUUGGAUCUUUGUUUUUGUUUGAAUCCAUACCAAUAAUUAUGGUUGCCAUUAUCAACUAGUUUUUUCAAUAGUGUUUAGAGGUUUUUAGAUUUUAGUUUUUAAAAUUUUUUGAAAAUAUUUACUUUCAAAUAUAUAUAUAUAUAUAUANNNNNNNNNNNNNNNNNNNNNNNNNNNNNNNNNNNNNNNNNNNNNNNNNNNNNNNNNNNNNNNNNNNNNAAAUAUUUCUAUAUAAAUAAUAACUCUAAGAGUAGGAUGAAAUCUAGUUUUUAAUUUUUAAUUUUUUGGUUUUGGAAAUAUUUUUAUAUAAAUGAAAUCUAGUUUUUAACUUUUAAUUUUUAAGAGAGUAAAUUGCAAAAUUGGUCCACAUGUUUUGUUAUUUUCUUUGGUUUUGGUCCUUUAAGUUUCAAAAUUACAAUAUUACGUCCUUAUCAAUAUAUUUCAUUAUGUAAUCGGUCCUUGGACUUAACAAUCGUUUGUUUUGGUUGUUAGCCCACCCCAUGUGCCCAACACAUGAGGGUAUAUUUGUCUUUUCACUUUCUUAUCUUCUCAAUUAGCUGAAUACGAACCCUAAACAUCUGCAUCUCAUCCAUAUAAACCCUAAGCAUCCACCUCUCAUCUCCAUUAUCUCCAUCUCUAGUCCACUCUGGCCUUUCCCUCUCAUCUACAAUACUUGCAUCAAAAUCCCGAAGUACCGACUAAUAUGGCAUCCCCAUUUAACAUAAGGUAUUACACUUAUAUUUUAUGUUAUUUUCAUUAAUGUUCACACAAUAAAAACAAUAAAGAAUGAUUAGAUUCUAUUCAUUCACAAAAGGUUGAAGCUUUUACACCAAAAAACUAACAAACUUAAGCAUUUACAAAAAAGAAAAAAAAAAAAGAAAAAAAAGAAAGAGAGAGAGACGUCACAAGCUUAAACCUAACAAGAACAUCAAAAGUUGCAAUCUUGAGGCUUCAACCUUGUUGAGCUUUCUAAAGAAGUGUCAUAUGAUCAUUCAAUCACUUUUGAUGACCUACGACAGGUUGUUAAGAGACAAAAGGAGCUCCACAUCUUUAACUUAAGAUCCAGAUAAAGUUGUGCGAUAACCCUAUUGGUGGAGUAGGAGAAGCCUUUAAGCUUCUCCACCAUAACACCUUAAACAUCAAUAAAACAUUUUUUGUUUCCUCAUGUCCUUCCAAAUAGCAUGCAUGAUUUCAAGGAUUAGGUCCGAGUGGAAUCAAAUGUUUGACGCCAUUUCUUUCUUGUGGGUUUAUUAAAAAUAUGGUAAUCUAGGCUACUACCCUUUAAUUUCUAUGAUGAAUGAAGAAAAACCCUCAUUUGUAACCAAUGGCUUAACAUUUAAUGUCUCAUGUAGUAAUCAUGAAAAUGUGUAUAAACCCUUGUAAAUUUAUAUUUGAUGAAUUUGGCAUUAUUACUAUGACAUUGAAAAUACCCUUGCUUUAUUUUGAAGAGAGCAAUGAAUGUGUAGAAAUUAAUUUGUGUUGUUUAGUAAUCAUGUACACGUCGUCUAUAUAUACAUGUAUACAUUUGUUUAUUGAUCAUGAAAAAAGUGUAUAUAUAAAUUGGGUUUACUAUAACCAAGGUUGUAAAAAUCGCUCGACGUUAGCUAGUCGGUGAACUGGGGUCAAGGGAUUAAUCGGCUAGGCGGAGAUUAAUCGGGGACCAUUAAUUGCUAAUUUGUUAGAUUUUAAAAAAUUAAAUAUUACUAAUAUCAUAUAAAAUUUGAUAAAUACCACUAAUAUCAUAACAAAAUAGGUUAAUAUGAUAAAUACAACACUAAUCAUACCUCAAAUAGUUUCUAUUGAGAUAUAACUUAUUCAAAGUGUUAAAAUUUCAUCUGGUCCUACUGUUUCAGUCAUUUUGUAUGCAUGGAUUAAUCGCUAGGCGCUCUCUAAUCGGUCAAGUAGCGCCUAGAGAUUAAUCGGAGAUUAAUCGAGACCUAAUCAGGAUUUUUACAACACUAACUAUAACUAAUUACAUAUAUCAUGUAUUCAUCUAUUAGUCUUACACCAAAAGAAUACAUGUAACAUAUUGCAACAUAUUUUGCUAAACAGGUCAACAAACUUACAGAAAUGAAGACAACUUUUAAUGUUGAAAAGUUAUGUUUAAAUCAUGAUGAGGAAAGUAUGGUCAAACGGUUGGAAGCUACAAAGAAGAAACAUAAAAACAAUGUAAAGACUAAUGCAUUGUUCUAUCUUCAUGAGGAAACUUGGUCUUAUUUAAAGGUGAAUGUAACACCAAGUUUCGGGUAUGUUUCGUUUAUGUAUAUUAAUAUUUUUGGAUGUUGGAUUCCUGGUGGCCACGACGUGGUGAUGGAGUCACAUGGCGUGACCAAGGCCAAGGUUUCGUGGGCACUAAGCUAGUGCCACGGUGUAGCAUCUAUUCGCCAUGGCGUGGCCGCCGUUUAAUGAUAAACCCUAAUCCAUGGUUUGAGCCCCUAUUUAAGGGAAUGUGAUGGCUAGGGUUGCCCACCCUCAGCCUCAAUCACUCUCCCUUAACUUCCAAGAGAAAACCCUAGUCUCCAUUGCUAACCUUUGAGUUUUUUGUGUGUUUGGUGGUGCUCUAAAGAAGAAGAAGAAGUUACCCUUGGGCUUUGUUUCAGCAAGCAAAUCUCCCUAUCCCUCUUGUGCAUAUUUUUUGGACUCUUGUAAGUCAUCAAGAUCCAAUCUUUAUGUUACUUGUCUCUAGGUAUAGCCCUUUUAUCCCUAAUCUUCAUAGUGUGAGAAUUUGGAAGGUUGGAUCUCAUAAUGUUGGCAACUUUUAUGGAUCCAUGUGGAAGCAGAUAUGGUUAGAUGUGGUAAAGUAUUUUGAUUGCGAGAUCUUGUACCACCCUGGGAAGGCCAAUAUGGUGCCUGAUGCCUUGAGCCGCAAAGCAGUGAGUGCACCUAUUGGGGAUAUAUGUCUAAAGAUGGUUAUCAUUUCUCUUUUGUUGGAUUUGAUAAAGAAGGAUCAAGUCGAGGGAUUAAAAAA
rnacentral:lncRNA from 1 species